rnacentral:lncRNA from 1 species
CACAACAUGUGGGUAGCUGCCCCUGCCUUCCCAGUGUUGCUGUGGUCACAGUGGCAACCUAGAGUAGAAGGAUGGCUAGGUGACACUGUUUGCUUCAUGCACACACAUUACUUCCUGUGAGCCUGGCCAAAUCCCUGGAGGGGGAGGUAGAUCCUUUUUUUAUAAAUUCAGAAAGUGAAGCUCACUUGGACGCCUGGGCUCAGAUCAGAUGUCAGGGUGCAUUAAUCUAUCUUAAAAAGAAAUAAGCAAAAGCUGACCACAUGCUGAAGCUCAGAGUAAUGCAAAGCCCAUAGAGGCAGAGAGAGGUUCAGCCCUGUGUCUCUGGGAUGCCAUGUGGAUCUUAGGCCCACCAUAGCCAGUCUGCCCCCUCCAAAAUCUUGCCCUCACCCCUGGUGGUCUGGGCAUUAAGAAGCCUCAGAAAAUUAGGCAACAUGGAGACCUGGGAUUCAGCAUGCAGUGCCUUUGCAAUACCCAAUAUAGGAGAAGAGUCCAGGGUCAAUUCACCCAGGGCUCCACCUAGAGAUUAGAUUAGAGACAAGACUAUGGGUGGGGGAGGGGUCCUCAAGCAUAUGUCUAUCAUGCAUUGGAAGAAUGUAGGGGCAUCAGUUUUGUCUUGGGUUUUUUCGGCACAGUGACUUGGGUCCAGAGCCACUCUGGAUAUUUAAUGAGUUGAGGACGGAGAUGCCAAGCAUCCUGCAGUGAGCAAGUCAGGCCUGCGCAAGGCAGAAGUUCCUGCCCAAAUCACCAGUAGAGCCCCUGAGGCAACACUGAGCCCCUUCAACUAGUUUUUUCCUUUUGUGUUCCCUCUGUAUUUUUGGUCACCUUGGCAUUCACCAAAAGGACACAGUUUGCACUUCUGGGGCCCACUGCCUGCUUUCAGGCUGCUGGAGGAUCAAGGCAUUCAGAAGUAUGUGACUAGGCCUCUCUGUACUCAGGACUUUUAAUCUCCUUAAUUGAAAUUGAUUGGCCUCUUGGGAGGCAGCUCUGCAUUGGCCCUGAGCUUCAGCAUGCUAUCAACUUUUGCUUAUUUCUUUUAAAGACCAAUUGACAUACUACAGCAUCUAAUCUUCUCCCUGAAUACUGGGCUCCUUUCCUGACCAGGAGCAAAAUGAGACACUCACACACAAAAACAGCUUGGGAACUAAAAGCUCCUGAUAAAAAUAAGGGAAGAAUAUUCUUGUCUCAUUGUGGCUUAGCAUUAUAUAAAAAGCCAGUCCAAACCCCAUUACCAAGGAAAGAUGUAAUCAAAUAGGAAAAGAGCAAAGGGAGGGGUAGGGGGAAGAGUUGCCUUCUAAAGCUUGCAAGAUAAAUAGACUGGCCCGGAGCACAUCUAAGAACCAGCUGCAAAAAAAAGAUAAAAAGGGAAGAAAAGUGAAAGAGCUUCUCAAGUUAAAAGAAAUCUAAACAUAAGAGAAUUGUUUGAGCAUACAGAUUUGUGUUCAUCUAGGCAUACCACUGUCACCCUGAAGUGGCCAGAGCUGGCUUACAAACCGGUUUGGCAGGUCGUAUCUCCUGGCAAAGCCUCUGAGAGGGCUCCUUACUUACCAGACUGAUCACAUAUCCUGAAAAUACACCUCAGGGAACCUUCCUGUGCCCAUGCUAGUGGGUCAUUGUAUCACCUCUGCCCUGGGCUUGAGCAAAGCUGUGCUGAGAGGCUCAGGCCACCUUGUGGCUUCCAAGCCCUGGCCUCAGGAGUGGCACUAGGAUAUAAGAAGAAGCAUCUUAGAAGCAAGCUAGCACAGCACUGACAAGUCACAUAAUCUUUAUUAUAAAAUAAUAAACUCAUUCUAAUAAUCUCCUGCCUAACAUGAA